rnacentral:lncRNA from 1 species
GACAGCUUGGUGCAUAUGAAUGUAAACCUUGUACAAGGACCGUUAAUACCAUUCGAAGUAUUUUUUAUUUUUCUAAGAUUUAUUAAUUAUGUGUCACUGCCUACCCUUCAAAUUACACAAGAUGCUCCGACAAAAUUCAAAGACCUUCAAAGUGCUCCAUCAGAAAAAGGUUUGGGAAACCCUGAUAUACAGUAUAUAACUAUUAAUUUUUUAAUAUUUCAGUGGAAUAGUUAAUGCAGAUUUUUGAUAAUAGCUAAAAACAUUCUUAUUAAGAAAAAAAAUUGAAUUUUUUUAUAUUGCUCUAUGAUCUUAAAUUUGAAUAUUUUCAGAUGGGUUUUCUUAAAUAC